GCCCCAGUGGCCUAGUGGUUAGAGCGUCCGCCUCAAAUGCUUGAGGUCGUGGUUUCGAUCCCUGGUUGAGACA